rnacentral:rRNA from 1 species
UACGUAGGGAGCGAGCGUUGUCCGGAAUCAUUGGGCGUAAAGCGUGCGCAGGCGGUUCGUUGUGUCGGCGGUGAAAGCCCCGGGCUCAACCUGGGAAUGGCCGUUGAAACUGGCGAACUGGAGUGUGGCAGAGGGGGGUGGAAUUCCGCGUGUAGCAGUGAAAUGCGUAGAGAUGCGGAGGAACACCGAUGGCGAAGGCAGCCCCCUGGGCUGACACUGACGCCUCAGGCACGAAAGCGUGGGGAGCAAACAGG